rnacentral:rRNA from 1 species
AUUGAACGCUGGCGGCAGGCCUAACACAUGCAAGUCGAGCGGAGCGGCGGACGGGUGAGUAAUGCCUAGGAAUCUGCCUGGUAGAGGGGGAUACCGUCCGGAAACGGUCGCUAAUACCGCAUACUAGCAGAUGAGCCUAGGUAGGUUUAGCUAGUUGGUGGGGUAAAGGCCUUCGAGGGCGACGAUCCGUAACUGGUCUGAGAGGAUGAUCAGUCACCCUGGAGCGGGGACGCGCACCAUGCUCCUACGAGAGUCACCAGUGGGGAAUAUUGGACAGUGGGCGGAAGCCGGGUCCAGCCAUGCCGCGUGUGUGAAGAAGGUCUUGGGAUUUUAAAGCACGUUAAGUGGGGGGGCGUUACCAGCAGAAUAAGCACCGGCUAACUUCGUGCCAGCAGCCGCGGUAAUAC